rnacentral:tRNA from 1 species
GGGGGUAUAGCUCAGUGGUAGAAUACAUACUUAGCAUGCACAAUUCAAUGGGUUCAAUUCCCAGUACCUCCA